rnacentral:rRNA from 1 species
UACGGGGGGGGCAAGCGUUGUUCGGAAUUACUGGGCGUAAAGGGCGCGUAGGCGGCCUGCUAAGUCACACGUGAAAUCCCUCGGCUCAACCGGGGAACUGCGUGUGAUACUGGCGGGCUUGAAUUCGGGAGAGGGAUGUGGAAUUCCAGGUGUAGCGGUGAAAUGCGUAGAUAUCUGGAGGAACACCGGUGGCGAAGGCGGCGUUCUGGACUGUAACUGACACUGAGGAACGAAAGCCAGGGGAGCAAACGGG